GAUGAACGCUAGCUACAGGCUUAACACAUGCAAGUCGAGGGGUAACGAGAGGAAAGCUUGCUUUCCUUGUCGACGACCGGCGCACGGGUGAGUAACGCGUAUCCAACCUGCCCCCAACUAAGGAAUAACCUUGCGAAAGUAAGACUAAUACCUUAUAAUUUCCUCAGAUGUCAUCUGACGAGGAAUAAAGAUUUAUCGGUUGUGGAUGGGGAUGCGUCUGAUUAGCUUGUUGGCGGGGUAACGGCCCACCAAGGCAACGAUCAGUAGGGGUUCUGAGAGGAAGGUCCGCCACGUUGGAAAUGAGACACGGUCCAAACUGCUACGGGAGGCAGCAGUGAGGAAUAUUGGUCAAGGGGCGGAAGCCUGAACCAGCCAGGUAGCGUGCAGGAUGACGGCCCUAUGGGUUGUAAACUGCUGUUAUACAAGAAUAAAGUUAGCCACGUGUGGUUAUUUGUAGGUACUGUAUGAAUAAGGACCGGCUAAUUCCGUGCCAGCAGCCGCGGUAAAAC
rnacentral:rRNA from 1 species